AUAUUAAAAAAUAUAACAAAAAGGUAAACCAUCGAACCGUUCAUCGACCUCGGCUAAUAAACCCUCUCGUCUUCCGCCAACUGACGGGUUAGCAGUUCCAUUGUCAGAGGUAAAGUUGCAAUUAUCCCAAAUUUUACCAACGUCUUUGAUCUAAUUACGACAAAUACUUUCCCGUCGUCGCUGCUACCGUUACAGAGUUAGGAUUCGCGGAACAAAGGGAAGAGAAGGAGACUAGAAUCAAUGACGACGCCGAUGAGAUCGCCGAGAUGGGGUUAUGUUCGAAUAAUAACAGGAACCAUUUUCGGAGGCAUACUUGGAUUCUAUGCUAUGCAUCGUGCUGAACUCAAGUACAAGGAAAUGUGGAACGAGAGAUUGAAGAAAUAUGAAGAGGAGCUCAAAAUGAAGCAAAGUACGGAGACGCAUACCCCCACUGAGUUGUUGGAAGACCCUCUUCCGAAAUAGGUAUGCAAAUCUUCGUGUAAUUUUUCAAAGGCGUGAUUGAGUUUCAACCUCAACUGUUGUUUAUAUCUCUGAAGAGGUAGACAGGGAAAAGCAGAGAUGGUUGCUGCUAUCAUGUGAAGAGAUGAUCAUAGAGAACACCCCCCCCCCCCCCAACCCACCCCACACACAGGGAUGUGUUUUUGUGAAUUAUGUUAUUUGAAGUGAGAUCCUUGGAGAGGAAAAUAACGUUUAACUUAUUCCGCGCCCCCGCCCAAAUUUUUCCUAGCCGACCUUUUUCCCCAUGCAACUCCUCUUUUUUGCCCAUGGAUUGGCUUAAAUUUAAGUGAUAAGUGAAGUUCUGGGUUUUCUGCUUUGGUAAAAGUUGAUUCA